AUUGAACGCUGGCGGCAGGCUUAACACAUGCAAGUCGGACGGUAGCACAGAGAGCUUGCUCUCGGGUGACGAGUGGCGGACGGGUGAGUAAUGUCUGGGGAUCUGCCCGAUAGAGGGGGAUAACCACUGGAAACGGUGGCUAAUACCGCAUAACGUCACAAGACCAAAGAGGGGGACCUUCGGGCCUCUCACUAUCGGAUGAACCCAGAUGGGAUUAGCUAGUAGGCGGGGUAAUGGCCCACCUAGGCGACGAUCCCUAGCUGGUCUGAGAGGAUGACCAGCCACACUGGAACUGAGACACGGUCCAGACUCCUACGGGAGGCAGCAGUGGGGAAUAUUGCACAAUGGGCGCAAGCCUGAUGCAGCCAUGCCGCGUGUAUGAAGAAGGCCUUCGGGUUGUAAAGUACUUUCAGCGGGGAGGAAGACGGUGCGGUUAAUAACCGCGCCGAUUGACGUUACCCGCAGAAGAAGCACCGGCUAACUCCGUGCCAGCAGCCGCGGUAA
rnacentral:rRNA from 1 species